rnacentral:rRNA from 1 species
GACGAACGCUGGCGGCGUGCCUAAUACAUGCAAGUCGAGCGAAGUUUUUCUGGUGCUUGCACUAGAAAAACUUAGCGGCGAACGGGUGAGUAACACGUAAAGAACCUGCCUCAUAGACUGGGACAACUAUUGGAAACGAUAGCUAAUACCGGAUAACAGUAUUUCUCGCAUGAGAGAUAUUUAAAAGUUGGUUAUGCUAACACUAUGAGAUGGCUUUGCGGUGCAUUAGCUAGUUGGUGGGGUAAAGGCCCACCAAGGCGACGAUGCAUAGCCGACCUGAGAGGGUGAUCGGCCACACUGGGACUGAGACACAGCCCAGACUCCUACGGGAGGCAGCAGUAGGGAAUCUUCCGCAAUGGGCGAAAGCCUGACGGAGCAACGCCGCGUGAGUGAAGAAGGAUUUCGGUUCGUAAAGCUCUGUUGUUAGGGAAGAAUGGAUAUGUAGUAACUAUACAUGUACGAGACG